AUGGGUACGCAAAUGGCAGAACCCAGACAAGAAAGUCAUUGCCAAGAGUCAACGCAGAAAGAGAUGCAGAGACAGAGAGAGACAGAGAGGCAGAGGUUUCAGCAACCUGAAGCCAUCAGAGGAAUCAACAAAUGUUAUACAUGGCUUGUAACACUGAAUGUGAGACCCGAAGUAAAACAAACACAUCUCAGCUUAGACCUCAUGGAACAAGAAAAAUAUGAAAUCCACAGAAGGCCACUCCAGGGUGGAAUACUGCCUUCAUGUGUGAAAAGUUACAAGACUUUCUCAGUAAGAUGGAUUUGGAAACUGGUCUCAGAGUUCAUUACCUAUGCUUUGUAGUUCUUUGUAUUUAUUACUGGUUUAUUAAGUAGUCUGGAUUCAAUCAGGUAUAAAUAUUAAACAUCAUAUGUUAUCUUGCCACUGGUCAGCUAUGCUUCUGUAUUUCAUUGAUUCUAAGAUGCACAUUUUAUAAAACAUAUUUUAGUGUUGCCGAAGCCAGGAUGCAUCUUGAAACCAACAGUGCCUUUACGUUAAUGAAACUAAGAAUAUUUAAUUUCCUCUUUCCAUCUUUUAACAAUAUAUAUGGCAGGUUCCUCAACUUCCUAGUAACUUUUGAGUAAAAACAACCCGAAGUUCAUUUCAGACCAGUUGAACACUUUACUUUCAUAUCUAGUUUAACUCUUUCACCUCCUCUUUAUCUUUAGCACCCAUCAGGACUUUGCCUGGGACAUUUGCAGAAGGGAACACGUAUUUCUUUUCUACUUACCUUUGUCUGUAUUUGCAGUUUACACAAAGGCAGAGAGAUAUGUUUUAUCAAGUACUACAUAUUUCUUUUCUCAAUGCCUAAAUUUUCAAAAUACAAAAUGGCAGAAUGCAAAAAUGUUUCCUGGUCAGGUCCUAGGGGAACACUUCUCCCUCCCUAUACUUCUUCUGCUGGGGUUAGAAAGAGGAAUAAGAUGUAUGCUAUGUUGGUGUAUGUUUGAUUAUAACAAAGUGUGUUUACUUUAUACCAUUUAUUGAAUGUUUGCUUAAUUAAUAUGCUUAAUUCUCAUGGCAACACUUAAAAGUAUUAUUAUCUCCAUAUUAGAGAGAUGAGAUCAUUGCUAGAACUAGGAUUUUACAUGUUUCUUGGCCACCAGGAAGAAUAAACAUCAUGUUAAGGAAAACA
rnacentral:lncRNA from 1 species